CUCUACGAACUACAUUGAUGUAUAUUGGAUACUUUUUCUUGCACUAUUUUCUAGUUUCUACAUCACAGAUAUGCGGAGGGAUAGGUGGGAAAACAUGUUGCAGUGGAUAUGUGUGGAACAAGGCAGUGAAUAAAUGCAUACCUUGUGCAAAAGGUUAUUUUGGUCAUGAUUGCAAUUUUCCUUGACCUCCUCCAACAUUCGGUGUCAACUGCGAGUCCAUGUGUAAAUGUUCUGUUGAAAAAUGUCACCAUGUUUACGGUUGCAA